GUCAGGAUCAGUAGAUCUUUUGCUAGGGCAUAAAUAUUUAUCGUCAAACCCAUAAGUCCGUUCCCAUUUCAGAUUACCGCAUACAUUCCAAGGUUUUCUGCUACCCGAAAUCGCCUUACAUGCAUCAAAUAAUUGAAUACCCGUGGAAUGUAUGGUGCUUAUCACAGUCCUAUUUAUUAAUGUCCCCUGGGAGUUAUUAUUCCAAAUUACCAACCAAAUUAUAUGGGGUUGGAAUUGGG